rnacentral:rRNA from 1 species
AUACGAAGGGGGCUAGCGUUGUUCGGAAUUACUGGGCGUAAAGCGCGCGUAGGCGGAUUGGUCGGUUAGGGGUGAAAUCCCAGGGCUUAACCCUGGAACUGCCUCUAAUACUGCCAGUCUUGAGUUCGGGAGAGGUGAGUGGAAUUCCUAGUGUAGAGGUGAAAUUCGUAGAUAUUAGGAAGAACACCAGUGGCGAAGGCGGCUCACUGGCCCGAUACUGACGCUGAGGCGCGAAAGCGUGGGGAGCAAACAGGAUUAGAUACCCUAGUAGUCC